UGUGCAGCUCUAGAUGUGGUGCGCGACAGGGCAUACAGGCUCGGCUGACACCUGGUGGCGGAGCGAGAUACUAUACCCACCAGCACUCCUUGUCACCCUCCCCUCGUGCCCCGACCAGGUGAGACAGGUGCAGCAGCAACAGGCAGCCCGCCGCUCCACCUGUGACGCACGCACCUGCCUCGCCGCCCCAGCAACAUGACACCUUUUCAAACGCCUGCACCUGCUGCUCAUCAUCCUCCGCUCCUCUAUCCUAUAUUAUGGAGUGUUCAUACGCGUGGACGUGGAGUGGCUGUGGAAGCAAGCCAUGACGAGGAGCAGAUGGUGUGACGAAAGGAAGAGUGAUAAAGAGAAGGGGGUUCAAU